GCCGGUGUGGCGUAAUGGUUAUCGCUGUGGACUUUUAGCACAAAAUUCGACAUGAAGUCGGAUCCGUGGGAUCCAAGGGUUCCGGGUUCGAGCCCCGGCAUCGGCU